UACGGAGGGUGCAACCGUUGCUCGGAAUCAUUGGGCGUAAAGCGCACGUAGGCGGUCCGUUAAGUCGGGUGUGAAAUCCCUCGGCUCAACCGAGGAAGUGCAUUCGAAACUGGCGGACUUGAAUAUGGAAGAGGGUCGUGGAAUUCCCGGUGUAGAGGUGAAAUUCGUAGAUAUCGGGAGGAACACCAGUGGCGAAGGCGGCGACCUGGGCCAAUAUUGACGCUGAGGUGCGAAAGCGUGGGGAGCAAACAGG
rnacentral:rRNA from 1 species